AAGAUUCUUUCUCUCUGAGUUUUUGGAUCCAAUCCCGAUUGAAGAGGAAUGCUCAAAGUUAUCCAAGAGAAGGACCUAGUAUUGAAGAAGAUCAUUCCCAUACAAAAAGAACUUCAUGCCAACCUGAAAAGGACCUUAUAUGGAAGACCAUAUCUGGAAAAGCGUCAAUCUUGAUCGGAAGGGAUAACGGGGACAUACCUAAUCCUAUGAGUUCAGAUUCAAUAAAAAAUUGUUAAAAAAACAAAAAAAAAAGAGAAAAGAAAGAAGGAAAAAGAAAAAAAGAAAGAAGAAAAGAAAAAAAAAAGGAGAGGUCAAGG
rnacentral:lncRNA from 1 species